CAGAUUGAACGCUGGCGGCAUGCUUUACACAUGCAAGUCGAACGGCAGCACGGGGGCGACCCUGGUGGCGAGUGGCGAACGGGUGAGUAAUAUAUCGGAACGUACCCGGAAAUGGGGGAUAACGUAGCGAAAGUUACGCUAAUACCGCAUAUGCCCUGAGGGGGAAAGUGGGGGAUCGCAAGACCUCACGUUUUCGGAGCGGCCGAUAUCAGAUUAGCUAGUUGGCGGGGUAAAGGCCCACCAAGGCAUCGAUCUGUAGCUGGUCUGAGAGGACGACCAGCCACACUGGGACUGAGACACGGCCCAGACUCCUACGGGAGGCAGCAGUGGGGAAUUUUGGACAAUGGGGGCAACCCUGAUCCAGCCAUGCCGCGUGAGUGAAGAAGGCCUUCGGGUUGUAAAGCUCUUUCGGACAGAAAGAAAUCGCACGGGAUAACACCCUGUGUGGAUGACGGUACUGUAAGAAGAAGCACCGGCUAACUACGUGCCAGCAGCCGCGGUAAUACGUAGGGUGCGAGCGUUAAUCGGAAUUACUGGGCGUAAAGCGUGCGCAGGCGGUUUAUUAAGACAGAUGUGAAAUCCCCGGGCUCAACCUGGGAGCUGCAUUUGUGACUGGUAGGCUAGAGUGUGGCAGAGGGGGGUAGAAUUCCACGUGUAGCAGUGAAAUGCGUAGAGAUGUGGAGGAAUACCGAUGGCGAACGCAGCCCCCUGGGUUAACACUGACGCU
rnacentral:rRNA from 1 species